GAUGAACGCUGGCGGCGUGCCUAACACAUGCAAGUCGAACGGAGAUUACGGACGGAAGUUUUCGGAUGGAAGACUGUAAUUCUUAGUGGCGGACGGGUGAGUAACGCGUGGGCAACCUGCCCUAUACAGGGGGAUAGCAGCUGGAAACGGCUGGUAAGACCGCAUAAGUCGGUUAAAUCGCAUGAUUUGAUCGGGAAAUGAGCAAUCAGGUAUAGGAUGGGCCCGCGUCCGAUUAGCCAGUUGGCAGGGUAAAAGCCUACCAAAGCGACGAUCGGUAGCCGGACUGAGAGGUCGGACGGCCACAUUGGGAAUGAGACACGGCCCAAACUCCUACGGGAGGCAGCAGUGGGGGAUAUUGCACAAUGGAGGAAACUCUGAUGCAGCGACGCCGCGUGAGUGAAGAAGUAUUUCGGUAUGUAAAGCUCUAUCAGCAGGGAAGAUGAUGACGGUACCUGACUAAGAAGCCCCGGCUAACUACGUG
rnacentral:rRNA from 1 species